GAUGAAGAACGCAGCGAAAUGCGAUACUUGGUGUGAAUUGCAGAAUCCCGUGAACCAUCGAGUCUUUGAACGCAAGUUGCGCCUCAAGCCAUUAGGUUGAGGGCACGUCUGCCUGGGCGUCACAUAUCGUUGCCUGAUGCCAGUUUCCUCGUGAUGGGUGACUGUGCAGGGCGAAUGAUGGCUUCCCGUGAGCAUUGUUGCCUCAUGGUUGGUUGAAAAUUGAGUCCUUGGUAGGGAGCGCCGUGAUAGAUGGUGGUUGAGUGACGAACGAGACCCAAUCAUGUGAGACCCCUACCGAAUUUGGCCUUCAUGACCCACAUGCGUCUUUGGAACGCUCAUGACGAGACCUCAGGUCAGGCGGGGCUACCCGCUGAGUUUAAGCAUAUCAUAACGGAGGA
rnacentral:misc_RNA from 1 species